rnacentral:ncRNA from 1 species
UCUGCGCGCUUUGUUUCAGGUGCUCGAAAUCCCCCGGAUUGAUUGAGUGAAACAGGGAAACCGGUAAAGCCGCUUAACGCGCUUCAUCCCGGUGCUGCCCCCGCAACGGUAGAUGAGUGAAGCUGUGCUGAUGCCACUGUGUCUGAAAAGCCAUGGGAAGGCGCGCAGUCGGGUUCGCCCGCUCAUGAGCCCGGAGACCGGCCUGAUCCAUCCAACAGCA